GUGGAUUUGGGUGAAAAAUAAGUUAACCCGCAAAACUAUCCAUCCAGCAAUCCGACUCAAUACUCGUUCACGCACCCAUUAUUUAAGCCACACUAACCAUUUUCAAUCUUCCCUUUGCAGCUCUUGCUCUCUCUCACUCAAUAAAAUCUCACCUCGCCGCUUCCUCUGCCCUCCGUCAUUAACCUCCGCUCCAAAACCCCAAAAACCCUCACCAUCACCGCCCACCCGGUGGUGUUUUCCCGAUCAUCUACAAAACCCGCCCAAACCUCCUAAAAAAUGGCGGCCAC
rnacentral:misc_RNA from 1 species